AGCACUUGAAUACCAACCAUCCCAUUAUUGUCUCACAUAAAGACAAAUGGUCUGGAACAGAAAAACAUGGUGACAAAACUAUUGGAAUAAAGUAUUAAAAAGGGUUGAAAAACAGACCAAAAUCAAUACUAUUGUAAUAUUGUUAUUAGUAUACUUAUUUCUAUAAGAGGAUCUCUAAUAGGGCAACAUUUAUAGUUGUCAAAAUACACACAUCAUUUAAAAAUAUUAUUUGUUUUAUAUUUCCUCUCAUCCACUUUAAAUUUGUUACAUUUUCUUAAAAAAAUUACUCCAAUUGUUGACAACUCUAAAAGUGUCUACUAUAGUAUCACAUCACAUUAAAUUAAUAAUUUUGUAGGUAAAAAAUAACUUUUUUCUUAUAAAAAAAUGACAUGUGGUCAUUCUCUAAAUUGAGCAACACUUAAUAUAAAAUUUGUGAUACGACCACUUUAAUGAGUAACUCUCUUGGAGAUGCUCUAAGAUACUCAUGGUGAUGAAGUGUCACCCUAUAAUUGCUUAGGAUUUUCUAUAAUAUAUAUUAAAGUGAAAUAAGUGAGAUCUAAUAUUAAAUUGUACUAAUAGCAAUAUUACAUGUGCUAAACACUAUAAAUGGUCUUUAACAUUUCUCUUAAAGAUUAUAGAAAAUCCCUUACUAAUUAUAAAGUAUUACCUCAUAAUAAUGCUAGAGAUCUUAGUGUCCCAUAAUAAUACUCUUAUCUAAAACAAUAAUGGCACGUUUACUAUACAGUAAUCAGAAUCGGAAUAAAUUAAUGGAGAAAUGUAACGGAAUAAAUGAAAAAUAAUGGGAAUCAAUAUUUGUAAUAUGUUGUUUACUAAAUUUUUUUUAAAAUGGAAUAGUUGUGUUUAUCUUGUUUACUUUAUUAGGAAACGUAAUCGAAAUGCUUAAAUUGACUAAAUUGCCCUUUUGAGUUAAACUAUAUUAUAUGGUAGUUAUUUUGCAAGACAUAUUUUAAAGGACAAAAUUGUCAUUAUAUAUUUAAUAUUAUAAAAUAAAAUAAAAAUAAUAAAAAUUCAUUACCCUUAAUGGCAUUCCUUACAAAAUUGGUGGGAGAAGUUCUCCCAUUCUUUUUUCCCUUAUUUAAUCAACUUCUCCAUUUCCUAAUUUUAAUAAUGCAAGUAAACAAAUGUAAGGGAAUGAUUACCUUACUAUUGAUUCCCAUUACUUAUUAGUAAACAUGCUAUAAGAGUAUUCAUGACAUUCUAUAUGUAUAAAUACAUUUUUUUUUAAUUAGAGAAAGUGGGGUUCGAAUUUGAAACCUCUUUUUUGUGAGAAGUGUAGAAUUACUAAAGGGAAAUUUGAUUUUCUAUACUUAGAAAAUCAAAAAAUUUGAUUUCUAAACCAAUAAUUUAAACCCUAAAAAAACUAUACCUUUUUUUUCAAAACCCCAAAAAUACCCCCAAACUAAAACUAUCUCUCUUUCUCUCUCUAUCUAGCCGGUCCCAAGAAUCCCACACCCCAGGUCCGACCAUCGGACCUCUCUCUUCCCCUCUCUCUCAAAUCGCAGAAAAAAAAAAAAAAAAUUAAAAGCGGUCGGACCUUCGGGUCCGAUGGGUCCGACCAUCGGACCCAUCGGACCCGAAGGUCCGACCAUCGGACCUCUUUCUUCCUCUCUCUCCAAAAUCGCAGAAAAAAAAAAAAAAAAUUAAAAGACGGUCGGACCUCUGUCUUCUUCCCUC